AGCAGCCGCGGUAAUUCCAGCUCCAAUAGCGUAUAUUAAAGUUGUUGCAGUUAAAAGCUCGUAGUUGAAUUUCGGGAUUGACACAUCGGUCGUGCCUUAAGGGGUAUGAACUGGUGUAGUCAAUUUCUCACCUUCUGGAGAACCGCGAUGCCCUUAAUUGGGUGUCACGGGGAACCAGGACCUUUACUUUGAAAAAAUUAGAGUGUUUAAAGCAGGCAUUUUGCUUGAAUACAUUAGCAUGGAAUAAUAAAAUAGGACGGCAUGAUUCUAUUUUGUUGGUUUCUAGGAUCACCGUAAUGAUUAAUAGGGAUAGUUGGGGGCAUUAGUAUUCAAUUGUCAGAGGUGAAAUUCUUGGAUUUAUUGAAGACUAACUACUGCGAAAGCAUUUGCCAAGGAUGUUUUCAUUAAUCAAGAACGAAAGUUAGGGGAUCGAAGACGAUCAGAUACCGUCGUAGUCUUAACCAUAAACUAUGCCGACUAGGGAUCGGAUGAUGUUAAUUUUUUUAAUGACUCAUUCGGC
rnacentral:rRNA from 1 species